GUAUGUUGCCCUAGGCACAUUGCUAGCCUGUAGCUAGUUACUAAUUUGGGCAGCUUUGUUUGUUUGAGUCCUCUCAGUUUGUUUCUCUGCUUCACAUCACUUUUUUAUUUUGACUUUAAAAAUAUGAAAUGAGAAGGCAGCAGGUAUCUCCCCGCUGAUAAACUGCAGCUUCAGGUCUGGUACUUGUACAGCUUCCAUCUUCAUAAGCUACAAGUGCCUUGAAGUAUUUAUGGAUUUAUCGUCACAACAGCCUUGUGCAAUAGGGAAGGAUUAUCAUCUCCAUCUGACAGAUGGGGACCUGAAGCAGUGUGGUUAAGUGAGUUACUCAGGAACACCCAGCUAUCUGUGGCAGACCCAGGAGUUUAAACCUGGUUCCCCUGAGUCCCACUGCCAUAACCCUCCUCCCUGGAAGUCAGUAAGCUCCUAAUUUUCAUCUUCUCAAAGGCUAACAGAAAUGAGGUGGGGAGUAUAGUUGAGAUUCAGAGCUCAUAUGCACAUCAGUGCAUCCUGAUUGGCUGCAGUUGAGUUCAGUGAAAACUAUUCACCUCUCCAAAAUGGAGACCACUACACACUGAGUACCUGUGCAGAUGAAUACCAAGAUUUAUCAUUCCUUGGAGUAAACAUGGACAUUGCUGGUCUUGGAUCAAUGAAUCUGGAGUCACCUCAAGAGAACUUUAUAUCUGAUUAUUAUAUAGCUUGACUAUUAUUUAUAACAUAGUGUGGCAAAUCACAACAGCAGGUUCUUGUCUCCAGAGAGAAUGUCUCAUAUCACAAAGGAGGUAGGCAGAAGAUUCAGCUACCACCUUCUUGGAUGCUAUCAUUCAGUCUCAUAAAAGAUGCAGCCACAACUUCCAGGUUUCCUGCAUUGAUGUCCCAUGUUGCACUGCAGUAAUUAGGGAAGCAAACAAUUAUAUUUCUCCUUUGGCUAUCAUCUUCUUCCUUAGUCUCCAGGACAGAUUAUUGGUCUCCUGAUUUUCCUAGGCUUGUUAUGAGGAAUGGAUGCAUUUGCUACUAUGUGGAUUCAGCAGAUGGUUGUAUUCAAAGGUCCUAAUAUUUAGAUCACUGAAUCCAAAUAUUACCUAAUCCUAUUAACAACUAUUACACCUUCUCUCCAUCUCAAUACAACAUGUCAGGAGUCUUCUUUCCAGUGCCCUCUUUCCCCAUGGAGAUCUGCUUUUAACUUUUACUAGCUUUCUGGGUGAGAAGUGACAGCCUCAGGUUCUACAGCGGGGAAAUUAAUUGGCUGGCCUCUUAUCUUCUGUCUUAGGUGUAUGGGUCCAACAAGUAAAAUCACUACAUCCCAGGCUCUGUGAAAGUAUUUACAGGGUAUAGGAUAUUUGUCUUACUCCAUCUGGCUGAGAAACACAGCUACCCUUUAGAGUAUGUCAAUAUCUCAAAAAAUUUCUUAUGGGAGUCCUCCAUUCCUAGCGAUUAUGCAACAAAGACUGGAUGAAGAAAUAGGGCAUCAUGCUUGGUACUAUGGUUCGCUCUUGUGCAGCAUUGGGGCUU